UAUAUAUAUAUAUGUAUGUAUGUAUAUAUAUAUAUCUGGUCUAGUGUAUAUAAAUACUUAAUUAAUCAAUGGAGAGAUGCGGCGGCGUUCUCGAUCUAUACAUUUUGCUUAGCACACAGCCGGCCGGAGAGGAAGAUCGACGUGGAAAAUGUGGCCCGCGCGCUCUGGUGGCCCGCUGCCGCGGUGAAGGGUCGAGAUGGCGGACUAGAGGGGGGGUGAAUAGUCCUUUCUAAAACUUAUUACGCCGGCUAACCGAAACAAAUGCAGAAUUAAAACUAUCGGUCUAGCCAAGACUACACCCCUCUAUCUAAGUUCUCUAGCACCUUGUAAAAGAUCCUAAACAAGCAAGCAAGGUGCUACCUUAGCAAGAGCUCACCUAACCAAAUCUAGAAGCAAGGUCACACAAACCUAUGCAACUAGUACUUUGCAAACCGGGGGAGCUCCUACACAAACUAGUGAGGCAAAGCGCACAAAGCCUAAGCUCACUAGCAAGCUCAAUAACAAGGCAACGAAUGCCAAAUUAGAGAGCGCAACUUACUUAGCUACACAAACUAAGCAAUGUGACUAACAAGGUUACACAAACCAAAUUAGUCACACAAGGAAACUACUUCUAGCUACACAAGCAAGAAGGUAACUAGCAAGCUACACAAGCUAACUAAUUACAAGAACAACUACACAAGCACAAGUAUAUGAAGGUAAGAACAAGCUUGUGUUAGGGACUUGCAAACCAACGGGAAGAACAAAGUUGACACGAUGAUUUUCUCCCGAGGUUCACUUGGUUGCCACCAAGCUACGUCCCCGUUGAGACAAGCUCCAAGGUUGCCGCCGGUCCUCUUGCUAGUGGUGACCCGCAAGUCACACUCUCCCACGUGGAGUGCUUACCACAAGCUCUAGCACUUGACCCGGCCGGACCACUUGUCGCUCUUCACGUCUCGCUCAACUAGAGUUGCUCUUCGCGAUCCCC
rnacentral:lncRNA from 1 species